ACGUAGGGGGCGAGCGUUGUCCGGAUUUAUUGGGCGUAAAGAGCUCGUAGGCGGCUAAGUAAGUCGGGUGUGAAAACUCCAGGCUCAACCUGGAGACGCCACCCGAUACUGCUUUGGCUAGAGUCCGGUAGGGGAGCAUGGAAUUCCUGGUGUAGCGGUGAAAUGCGCAGAUAUCAGGAGGAGCACCAGUGGCGAAGGCGGUGCUCUGGGCCGGAACUGACGCUGAGGAGCGAAAGCGUGGGGAGCAAACAGGA
rnacentral:rRNA from 1 species